rnacentral:lncRNA from 1 species
GAAAGCUAGGGGAGCGAAUGGGAUUAGAGACCCCAGUAGUCCUAGCCGUAAACGAUGGAUACUAGGCGGCUGUGCGUAUCAUCCCGUGCAAUGUUGUAGCUAACGCGUUAAGUAUCCCACCUGGGGAGUACGUCCGCAAGAAUGAAACUCAAAGGAAUUGACGGGGGCCCGCAUAAGCGAUGGAGCAUGUGGUUUAAUUCGAUGCAAAGCGAAGAACCUUACCAAGGCUUGACAUGCCGCGAAUCCUCUUGAAAAAGAGGAGUGCCUUCGGGAACACUUGUAGGAAUGACAUAAUGCUAAUCCAUGUUCCACACACACG